UACAGAGGCCUCGAGCGUUAGGCGGAAUCACUGGGCUUAAAGCGUGUGUAGGCGGAUGCCUAAGUACCUUGUGAAAUCCCACGGCUCACCCGUGGAACGGCUCGGUAUACUGGGCGUCUUGAGCCACCUAGGGGCUACCGGAACAAAUGGUGGAGCGGUGAAAUGCGUAGAUAUCAUUUGGAACGCCAACGGAGAAAUCAGGUAGCUGGGGGUGUGCUGACGCUGAGGCACGAAAGCGUGGGUAGCAAACAGG
rnacentral:rRNA from 1 species